AAAGCUCAAAUUUGAAAUCUGGUACCUUUGGUGCCCGAGUUGUAAUUUGGAGAGUACCACUUUGGGACUGUACUUUGCCUAUGUUCCUUGGAACAGGACGUCAUGGAGGGUGAGAAUCCCGUGUGGCGAGGGUGUCAGUUCUUUGUAAAGGGUGCUCGAAGAGUCGAGUUGUUUGGGAAUGCAGCUCUAAGUGGGUGGUAAAUUCCAUCUAAAGCUAAAUACAGGCGAGAGACCGAUAGCGAACAAGUACAGUGAUGGAAAGAUGAAAAGAACUUUGAAAAGAGAGUGAAAAAGUACGUGAAAUUGUUGAAAGGGAAGGGCAUUUGAUCAGACAUGGUGUUUUGCGCCCCUUGCCUCUCGUGGGCUUGGGACUCUCGCAGCUCACUGGGCCAGCAUCGGUUUUGGCGGCCGGAAAAAACCUAGGGAAUGUGGCUCUGCGCCUCGGUGUAGAGUGUUAUAGCCCUGGGGAAUACGGCCAGCCGGGACCGAGGACUGCGAUACUUGUUAUCUAGGAUGCUGGCAUAAUGGUUAUAUGCCGCCCGUCUUGAAACACGGACC
rnacentral:rRNA from 1 species